rnacentral:rRNA from 1 species
CCUACGGGAGGCAGCAGUAAGGAAUCUUCCACAAUGGACGAAAGUCUGAUGGAGCAACGCCGCGUGCAGGAUGAAGGCUUUCGGGUCGUAAACUGCUUUUAUAUGGGAAGAUUAUGACGGUACCAUAUGAAUAAGGACCGGCUAACUACGUGCCAGCAGCCGCGGUAAUACGUAGGGUCCAAGCGAUAUCCGGAAUUACUGGGCGUAAAGCGUGUGUAGGUGGAUUAAUAAGUGUGAUGCGAAAUCCGGCGGCUCAACCGUUUGGACGGUGUCGCAUACUGUUAGUCUAGAGGACGGCAGAGGUAAGUGGAAUUACGGGUGUAGCAGUGAAAUGCGUAGAUAUCCGUAGGAACACCAAUGGCGAAGGCAGCUUACUGGGCCACACCUGACACUGAGACACGAAAGCGUGGGGAGCGAACAGGAUUAGAUACCCUGGUAGUCCACGCCGUAAACGAUGCAUACUAUUAGUAUGGGGUAUCGACCCCCUGUGCUGAGAAGCUAACGCGAUAAGUAUGCCGCCUGGGGGAGGACGAGCGCAGACUUAAACUACAAGAAGUAGACGGCGNGAGACGUGCCGACGGACGACGACGAGGGAGGAGG